rnacentral:rRNA from 1 species
UUAAGAAUCUUGCACAAUGGGCGCAAGCCUGAUGCAGCGACGCCGCGUGAAUGAUGAAGGCCUUCGGGUUGUAAAGUUCGGUAAGCAGGGAAGAAUAAGCACCGGGUAAUAUUCGGUGUGAUGACGGUACCUGCCUAAAGCCCCGGCUAACUACGUGCCAGCAGCCGCGGUAGUACGUAUGGGGCGAGCGGUGUUCGGAAUUAUUGGGCGUAAAGGGCGUCUAGGCGGGAAAUUAAGUUAGGUGUGAAAGCUAUGGGCUCAACCCAUAAACUGCAUCUAAAACUGAUUGUCUUGAGUUCGGGAGAGGAGAGCGGAAUUCCAGGUGUAGCGGUGAAAUGCGUAGAUAUCUGGAAGAACACCAGUGGCGAAGGCGGCUCUCUGGCCUAGAACUGACGCUGAAGCGCGAAAGCGUGGGGAGCGAACA